AACAGUAGAAUUUGGGAGAUAAUAGCAGUAACCCAGGCAGAAAAGAUGAUGGUGGUUCAGACCAGGUGCUAGGUAUAGAGCACUCAAGAAGAGACCCAAUUCUGAACAUGGAGUAUGACAAAAUGUGGAGGGUGGCAGUCUGGAGAUCUGAAUAAAGACCUAGGUUUGAGAUACAAAUUUGGAAGCUCUAUAUUUUCAUUCAACUUGAUUAAAUAUUUAUUGAGCAUCCUACCAUUUGCUGAGAACCCACCUAGACAUUUUAGAUACAAAUUGUAAGAAUAUAUAGUACCUCCCUCAGAGGCCUCAUAAUUAAUGUGAACAGUAGACAUAUUAAUAAAAACUGAAAUACUUAAUAAAAGUAGGUAUAAAGACCUAUGAGGACACAGAUGUAGGGAUAGUUAAUUAAUUCUACCUUUGGGAAAAGUCAGGCAUGGAACAACUGAGUUGGAAUUUGAAGGUUAAGGAGAAUCUCCCUAUCCGGUCAAAGUAGAAUAUUUCAGGCAGACAGGAAGGCUUGGUAAGUACAACUUCAUGUUUCAUAAGUUAAAGGUACUGUCAUGCCUUAACUUGCAGCAAAUGAGUUAAUUCAGUACCUGAUAUAUUUCCCCUCAUAAUCUAGAAAAUAUAAAGAGGCAAAUACUACGACAGACCUAAUACGAUCAUAUAUGAGAUCAGAGGAUCUUUAUUCACGGAGCUUAAAGAGGACUGCCUUUCAUGUAAGCUGCAAUUUUAUGUCCGAUUCCAUAACUUUUUAUAUUAACCCAUGUUUUUAGUGCAUGAUGACCUGUCUCUCAAAGAUGGAGCAGUCAGUUCCCCUGCCUCACAGAAUGAAGGCUCCAGAUGAACCCAGAGGAAGAAAGAAGGAGGAGCCGCGCAGCCCAGAUGAGAGUGACACGCACCAACUCCAACUCCUCGCCGGGGAACGCUUCAUCCCAGCUCCGCGGAAUGCCCGGC
rnacentral:lncRNA from 1 species